GGGGCUGUAGCUCAAUGGCAGAGUUCUUGCCUAGCAUGUAUGAGGCACUGGGUUCCAUCCUCAGCACCACUU
rnacentral:tRNA from 1 species